AUUGAACGCUGGCGGCAUGCUUUACACAUGCAAGUCGAACGGUAACAGGGUGCUUGCGCCGCUGACGAGUGGCGAACGGGUGAGUAAUGCGUCGGAACGUGCCGAGUAGUGGGGGAUAACGAAGCGAAAGUUGUGCUAAUACCGCAUACGUACUGAGGUAGAAAGUGGGGGACCUUCGGGCCUCAAGCUAUUCGAGCGGCCGACGUCUGAUUAGCUAGUAGGUGAGGUAAAGGCUCACCUAGGCGACGAUCAGUAGCGGGUCUGAGAGGAUGAUCCGCCACACUGGGACUGAGACACGGCCCAGACUCCUACGGGAGGCAGCAGUGGGGAAUUUUGGACAAUGGGGGCAACCCUGAUCCAGCAAUGCCGCGUGUGUGAAGAAGGUCUUCGGGUUGUAAAGCACUUUUGUCCGGAAAGAAAUCGCACUUACUAAUAUUAGGUGUGGAUGACGGUACCGGAAGGAUAAGGACCGGCUAACUACGUGCCAGCAGCCGCCGUAACAC
rnacentral:rRNA from 1 species